rnacentral:rRNA from 1 species
AUACGUAGGUGGCGAGCGUUGUCCGGAAUUACUGGGUGUAAAGGGCGUGUAGGCGGGACGGCAAGUCAGAUGUGAAAUACCUCGGCCUAACUGGGGUGCUGCAUCUGAAACUGUCGUUCUUGAGUGUCGGAGAGGAAAGUGGAAUUCCCAGUGUAGCGGUGAAAUGCGUAGAGAUUGGGAGGAACACCAGUGGCGAAGGCGGCUUUCUGGACGAUAACUGACGCUGAGGCGCGAAAGCGUGGGUAGCAAACAGGAUUAGAUACCCUGGUAGUCCACGCUGUAAACGAUGGAUACUAGGUGUAGGAGGUAUCGACCCCUUCUGUGCCGGAGUUAACACAAUAAGUAUCCCACCUGGGGAGUACGGCCGCAAGGUUGAA